rnacentral:lncRNA from 1 species
UCAAACAGCUCUGGAGCCUGAUCUUGGGGUUUCCUACAUCUCUCUUGAACCAGAAAGGAAGGGGCAACCAUUUUGACCAUCCCCAUUGAACUGGCUGUACCUCAGAAGUGAUACUGUGAUGAGGACUCAGCUGACAAUGCCACCACCCAGAGGUAUUUUAAACUGCUUAGAGGCCCCAGAUGUGGUCAGCUGUCCUAAAAAGAUGACAUCCACCAGCCUGUGCACAGAACCCUGAGUUUGCAGGUCACAUCUAGGUCCCAUUACAGAGAGGAGUGAGCCCCUUUUCCUUGUCACAGCACUUGGGGACAUCAGUGUCCACGUCACCUUGAGGGGCAGGAGGAGCCCAGGUCUGCACACACCUGUUAGCCCUGCUCACCCCAGGAACAGCUCAUGGAGACACUGGGCUUGGGAGGAGAGUUGCCAGAUUGUCAGCCUUACACACCCAGAUUAGAAAAAU